AGAGUUUGAUCCUGGCUCAGGACGAACGCUGGCGGCGUGCCUAAUACAUGCAAGUCGAACGGUCUUUUCUAUGGAAGCUUGCUUCCACUGAGAAGAUAGUGGCGAACGGGUGAGUAACACGUGGGUAACCUGCCCAUAAGAGGGGGAUAACAUCCGGAAACGGGUGCUAAUACCGCAUAGUUUUCUUGAUCGCAUGAUCGAGAAAGGAAAGACGGCCUUUGUGCUGUCGCUUAUGGAUGGACCCGCGGCGUAUUAGUUAGUUGGUGAGGUAAUGGCUCACCAAGACGAUGAUACGUAGCCGACCUGAGAGGGUGAUCGGCCACAUUGGGACUGAGACACGGCCCAAACUCCUACGGGGAGGCAGCAGUAGGGAAUCUUCCGCAAUGGACGAAAGUCUGACGGAGCAACGCCGCGUGAGUGAAGAAAGUUUUCGGAUCGUAAAA
rnacentral:rRNA from 1 species